rnacentral:rRNA from 1 species
UUGUCCCUACGGGAGGCAGCAGUGGGGAAUAUUGGGCAAUGGGCGCAAGCCUGACCCAGCAACGCCGCGUGAAGGAAGAAGGCUUUCGGGUUGUAAACCUCUUUUAAGAGGGAAGAGAAGAAGACGGUACCUCUUGAAUAAGCCACGGCUAACUACGUGCCAGCAGCCGCGGAAAUACGUAGGUGGCAAGCGUUGUCCGGAUUUACUGGGUGUAAAGGGCGUGCAGCCGGGCUGACAAGUCAGAUGUGAAAUCCCGCGGAUCAACCGCGGAACUGCAGU